CUCCAAAGCACCCACAGAUCACAGUACAGACGUCUGGCAGCCAGUUGUUAUUCAGCAGGAUCGGUAUGGAGCAAAAGCCCUGGUAGCGGCGGACGGUGUUCGGCUUCCCCAUCUCGCGGCACAGCGUCAGUCCAACGGAGAGACACAGGAGGGCCAGAAGUACCAUUACCAAGUAUAUGAGCACACGGGUUGAAUACUUUGCUUGCCAUUCUGCAUGUUGCUGGAUCUCGAUCUUUUCCUAUAGCAAUGAAAUACGACUUUAAUAAUUUUAAAUAAAAAAUUAUUGUUUUCAUGUCGA